rnacentral:lncRNA from 1 species
CACACUUAGAGCAGACUUGGACUAAGUGCCAAACAACAGCUCAGUGGCAACUAUUUCAAAUCACUAAGAUUCAUCCAGAGACGCUAAAAAGCUUAGAAGCAGCAAGCCCUGAUUGUGGGUCGGUAAACGAGGGGGAAAGAGAGAGGAAAGCGUCUUAAAUGUAUGCUUUUGUCAUUGAAAUAAAAAAUCCACAAUUUUCAGCCAGUAUCUGAAUUAAUAAAGAAUCUUUAAAAAUAAUUUGUAUUUGAUUCUGUAACCUUUGAAAAAAUCUUUAAAGAAUAGCAGCAUUUCCCUGCUCUUACUACACAUGGAAUAUUCUCAGGCAUAAACCAUGUGAAGUGUCUCUAAGAUGGGAGAGGAGUCUUAGAAUAUUAGCUUUAUAGAAGUGGGAUCAGUAGGGUGUAGUCAGAAACUCACCAGUUCAAGAAUCAGAAGACCUUGCUAGGCAUCUGCCUCAAACACGAAUUAAGUCUAACUUGGGCAAGCUUUUUCAUCUCUAAGUCUCAAUUCCCUUAUCUGAGAAACGAGAAUACUAUUAUUUGCCUUGUCUUAGCUCAAAGUUGUUGUGUAGAUCAAAUUAGAUAAUGCCCGUGAAAGGGCUGUGAGGCUGGUAAAGCCUGCUGCAGAGAAGGUAGAAUCUUCUAACGUAGCUCUCCUCAGCAGAUAAGGUAAAGGAAGCCCACUGCGGUUAGGUGAGACCCACGUUUUAAUGGGUGGUGGGACCAGAAUUAGAACUUGGAUUUAUCACGGUCUGUAAAAGGAGAUUUUCAUGAUGAGGCUUUGCCUCGAAAGCUCAUGAGCUGAAAGUGGCCCCAUGUGUUCCUCUUCUUUUCUGAAUUCACCUGAUGAUUUUGUGCGAAGCCAGGAGGGAACCAUGACUCGCAGAAUGAGCCAAGACGUUCUGCCCGCUGACUCUGAGUCCAUCCUGUAUACUAAAAAUACUACUCUCCUCACGUCACAUAGAGUCUCUAGAGGUGUUGUCCCAGCGUAAAAAGACUGAAUCUGAUGGAACUGAGUGUGAUGAAGAUCAGGAAGCUUUUUGAAUUUUCGCCGUCCUGAAACAGGAACAGUUUGAAUUGAUGUGACAUAAGUUGGCUGACUGGAUGGACUGCAUCCUGGGCCCAUACUGCUUUUAUCUAGUUGCCUAAAAAUGAGACAGAAGAUUCUCUGUUCAUUUAAAAUGGAAAGAUACCAUGACUGGCGUCUCCAUGCAUGAAGUCUUCUCAAAGAAUGCCGCUGGUCGUGCGUCAAGAUGAGGAUGUAUUUCUAAUUAUUAGCACUCCACUUGCAUUAUGCUUAUCUUCCCCUAGCAUGCAAUCUCUCAUCAGUGUCACUGUCAGGUAAAUAUCAACCCACAUUUUAGAAAAGAAUAUCAAGUGAUUUGAAAGUCUCAGAGAAAAUCAUGGUAAGAGUUGGAACAUUGGAGCCAGCGCUGUGCUGGGGAAUGUCUAACCACUGGCUUUCCCUUCCCCAACACUAAGAAAACUCUGAUGUG